rnacentral:lncRNA from 1 species
AGAAGAGUAAAUGAAGAAGAGGAAGUCUAGAGGAAGUGGGAACAGUUUAUUGACUAUUACAAUAGUCCAAGCAAAAGAUAAUGAGAACAUAAAGUAGAAAACGAAAUGUAGGAAUGGAGAAGAAAUAACGAUUUAAAAACAUUUAAGGGAUCCUUCUAACAAAACCCAGUGAUUAGUGGUACAUCUGGAAUGAGGGAUUAUUCCAAGGUUUAUUAUUUAGAUAAUAGGUGACUCAUGCAGAGACUAAACACAGGAAAAACAAUUUUCAGGAAAAAUUAGAAAAGUUGCUAUUUAUACAUGUUAAAUUUGAGUUGUCUAUAACAGAUCUGUCUACUGAUAUCAAUUUGGCUAUCGAACUCAGGAGUAAAAUUUUGUCUAAAGAUAAAAGAAGAAAAUUAGAAGUGCCUAAAACUGACAACGGGUCUAGUAUCUAGAUCAUCCAAGGAACUUCCGCAAAUUCAUCAGACUAAAAAGAAGAACCCUAAAUAGAAAAAAAAAAAUGGUCAAAGGACAGGAAUAGGCAAUUAAUAGAAAAGGAAACUCCCAAAUUUCUCAAGCAUAUGAAGAGAUGCUUAAGCUCAUUAGUAAUGUGAGACAUGAAAAAUUAAAAUUGCAAUGGUAUGUUACUCUCUAUCUAGUCUACUGGAUAAAAAUUAGAAAGUUAGACAACAUGAAGUGUUGGCCUGGAUUUGAAGAUGCAGGAACUUAGAGACUGGUUGGAGAAGCAGGCAAGAGAUGGGCAUUCUGGAGUGCAAUCUGACAGUAUUUGGUUAAAAUUGACUAAAUUAAGUAUAGACACCCCCUCUGGCCCAAUAAUUCUGCUUCUGAAUACACAUGUUGAAGAGAUUCUCACACAUAUCCACAGGGUGCCUGUGCAGCAGUAUUCACUGUGAUAGGAAGUGAGAAGCAGUCUGAGUGUUCAUUGCUGAGGGAAUCAAGGGCAAAAUAUCAUGGAUGCACUCAUGGACAAAUAAGCAGCAGUUUGAAGCAACACCCUAGAUGGAUGUACAGCCAUCAAGAGGAUCUUAAAGUGUGGUCUUUAGUGGAAAAAAAGGUAAGAAAUCAAAUACAAUCUCUUAUAUAGUACUAGUCACAUUAAGUAAAAAUAUACGCAAAAAAUAUAUACACAAUACCCAAUAAACACAUUUUUUGUGGUUGUCUAUGGUGGGGCAGUCAAACAGAGAGAAAAGAAAUGCAUUAUCAUUUUUAAAGUAAUAAGAAAGCACAGAUGGGUGCUUCAUAAAUAUUAUUGAAGGAUGAUGACACAAAGGAUUAUUCAAUACCUC